AGUGAACGCUGGCGGUAGGCCUAACACAUGCAAGUCGAACGGAAGCACAGUAAGAGCUUGCCCUUACGGUUGGCGAGUGGCGGACGGGUGAGGCAUACAUAGGAAUCUAAUUUUACGUGGGGGAUAACGGAGGGAAAGUUACGCUAAUACCUCAUACGUUGUACGGCUGGAAUCAAGAGAUAAUGGGAGCUUUGCCGUUAGAUUGAGAUGGUGCCGCGCUGGAUUAGCUAGUUGGUAAAGGAACGGCUUACCAAGGCAACGAUGCAGAGCCGACCUGAGAGGGUGAUCGGCCACACUGGAACUGAGACACGGUCCAGACUCCUACGGGAGGCAGCAGUAGGGAAUCUUCCGCAAUGGGCGAAAGCCUGACGGAGCAACGCCGCGUGAGUGAUGAAGGUCUUCGGAUCGUAAAACUCUGUUAUUAGGGAAGAACAUAUGUGUAAGUAACUGUGCACAUCUUGACGGUACCUAAUCAGAAAGCCACGGCUAACUACGUG
rnacentral:rRNA from 1 species